rnacentral:rRNA from 1 species
UACGUAGGGGGCAAGCGUUGUUCGGAAUUACUGGGCGUAAAGGGCGCGUAGGCGGCCGCCUAAGUCAGACGUGAAAUCCCUCGGCUCAACCGGGGAACUGCGUCUGAUACUGGGUGGCUUGAAUCCGGGAGAGGGAUGCGGAAUUCCAGGUGUAGCGGUGAAAUGCGUAGAUAUCUGGAGGAACACCGGUGGCGAAGGCGGCCCCCUGGUUGGAUACUGACGCUGAGACGCGAAAGCGUGGGGAGCAAACAGG